CAAAUCCACAAACACAAAUCUAUGAGGACAAAAGGAAACAUAUUUGUACAAUAAUAAUGCAAUCUUUGAUGUGUGUGUGUGUGUGCUUUUUUUUUUUUUUUUUUUUUU
rnacentral:ribozyme from 12 species